CAGCCAUCAGCAAAGUGUAGUCAGGACCUUUUCUAUGCGUUGCUGACCUUUUUAAAGGUCGCCCAUCCAGCCAUCAGCAAAGUGUAGUCUUGACCUUUUCUAUGUGUUGCUGACCUUUUUAAAGGUCGCCCAUCCAGCCAUCAGCAAAGUGUAGUCUUGACCUUUUCUAUGUGUUGCUGACCUUUUUAAAGGUCGCCCAUCCAGCAAUCAGCAAAGUGUAGUCUUGACCUUUUCUAUGUGUUGCUGACCUUUUUAAAGGUAGCCCAUCCAGCCAUCAGCAAAGUGUAGUCUUGACCUUUUCUAUGUGUUGCUGACCUUUUUAAAGGUCGCCCAUCCAGCCAUCAGCAAAGUGUAGUCUUGACCUUUUCUAUGUGUUGCUGACCUUUUUAAAGGUAGCCCAUCCAGCCAUCAGCAAAGUGUAGUCAUGACCUUUUCUAUGUGUUGCUGACCUUUUUAAAGGUCGCCCAUCCAGCCAUCAGCAAAGUGUAGUCAUGACCUUUCUAUUAAUCCAUCUGUCUCUCAGCCAUGUAAAUGCGAACAAGAUUCAACAACUGAAGACUAAGCUUGUAUGCUGUUUCAAUAACUUAACUUAACUGUAAUUAUUUUUUUCUGUCAUUGAACUUUGUGAUGUAUAUGGUGGGAAUGUUCUCUGUGUUAAUUUAAUUAGCACAAUUCACUGACAUGCUGGACUGACAUGCUAGCUGCUGUUCAGGAGUGUAACAUUUGCUGUUGGGGACAACUUAUACAGUUGUCAAUGGUACUUUGCUUUCUAGAUUUAUUUUUUGUCUCUCAAGCAACACUGUGUGUGGCUCUUCUGUCGCUGGGGCUGUUGCUGUUUUGAAACCGCUGGCAGACUGAUACAGUUUUCUGCGUAGAAAUCAAUUUCUUGGCAGGUACCUAGGCCCAUGGCAUGUAUUGUUAAGGGCGUAACUAGAGAAAAUUAAAUAGUGUCUGUUGCUGCUUUGAAAAAAGUUUUAAUUCUGAAAAUGUACAUAGUUUAUCAUAAUAUCUUGUACAGUCCAGUGUAAAGUUUUUAAUUGAACUUUAAAAAAAGGUUGCCAUCACAUUUGUGUUCACUUUCUUCUUCAUACAGUACAAAAGGACAGCUACUUGCUGAGGAUAUUAUUGUUAAAUUUAAAAAAGGAGAAGGUACUAAAAUAUUUUAUUUUGCUUGGCUUCAAAAUGUAAACCAGCAAGUCUUUGGUUUCCAUGUGCAGUAUUGACGUGAGGUAAACUUAAGGUGAAAUAAUUCUACAGUGGUAUGUAUUGGAGACCAGUCUCCUCUGUGUUGGUAGUAUUAAUACACUAUAUCAAAUAAAAUACACCAGAUGACUGACACAUUUGGGUGUAUCUAGGCACCUUAGUAAUGUGUGCAAAUAUCUAGGCUGUGUUCCCCACAGGAUGCAUUCAGGCAUAUUGUAAUGUAACAUCAUCUUUCUGUAUGUACUCAAUCCAUUGAUGUAACAAGGCAGGAGUGGGUUGUUUAACUGCCUGUUUAAGCUCAUUUACCUCAAGAGUUUCCUCCUUUUGCGUAAAAGAGUAAGAAAUUGUGUGACAAAGUCUCACCAUCACUCCCAUCUUUUGUACUGCUGUUGACACUUACAAAUUAAAGAGACAUUUUGUUUUAAGAUCCGAGUCUCUAUUUUGUUGUUGUUGUGCGUUGAUUGUCCAUUGAUUU
ensembl:lncRNA